rnacentral:rRNA from 1 species
AUACGGAGGGUGCAAGCGUUAUUCGGAAUCACUGGGCGUCAAGGACGCGGAGGCGGGUUGGCAAGUCAGAUAUGAAAUCCUACAGCUUAACUGUAGAACUGCAUUUGAAACUGCUAACCUAGAGUAUGGGAGGGGGAGAUGGAAUUAGUGGUGUAGGGGUAAAAUCCGUAGAUAUCACUAGGAAUACCGAAAGCGAAGGCGAUCUCCUGGAACAUAACUGACGCUAAGGCGUGAAAGCGUGGGGAGCAAACAGGAUUAGAAACCCUAGUAGUCC